GUCGUAACAAGGUCUCCGUAGGUGAACCUGCGGAGGGAUCAUUACACAAAUAUGAAGGCGGGCUGGAACCUCUCGGGGUUACAGCCUUGCUGAAUUAUUCACCCUUGUCUUUUGCGUACUUCUUGUUUCCUUGGUGGGUUCGCCCACCACUAGGACAAACAUAAACCUUUUGUAAUUGCAAUCAGCGUCAGUAACAAAUUAAUAAUUACAACUUUCAACAACGGAUCUCUUGGUUCUGGCAUCGAUGAAGAACGCAGCGAAAUGCGAUAAGUAGUGUGAAUUGCAGAAUUCAGUGAAUCAUCGAAUCUUUGAACGCACAUUGCGCCCUUUGGUAUUCCAAAGGGCAUGCCUGUUCGAGCGUCAUUUGUACCCUCAAGCUUUGCUUGGUGUUGGGCGUCUUGUCUCUAGCUUUGCUGGAGACUCGCCUUAAAGUAAUUGGCAGCCGGCCUACUGGUUUCGGAGCGCAGCACAAGUUGCCCUUUCUAUCAGCAAAGGUCUAGCAUCCAUUAAGCCUUUUUUUCAACUUUGACCUCGGAUCA
rnacentral:rRNA from 1 species